rnacentral:rRNA from 1 species
CCUACGGGAGGCAGCAGUGGGGAAUAUUGCACAAUGGGGGAAACCCUGAUGCAGCGACGCCGCGUGAAGGAAGAAGUAUUUCGGUAUGUAAACUUCUAUCUGCAGGGAAGAAAAUGACUGUACCUGACUACGAAGCCCCGGCUAACUACGUUCCAGCAGCCGCGGUAAUACGUAGGGGGCAAGCGUUAUCCGGAUGUACUGGGUGUAAAGGGAGCGUAGGCGGGGCAGCAAGUCAGGAGUGAAAGCCCGGGGCUCAACUCCGGUAGUGCUUUUGAAACUGGUGAACUAGAUUGCAGGAGAGGUAAGUGGAAUUCGUAGUGUAGCGGUGAAAUGCGUAGAUAUUAGGAGGAACACCAGUGGCGAAGGCGGCUUACUGGACUGUAAAUGACGCUGAGGCUCGAAAGCGUGGGGAGCAAACAGGAUUAGAUACCCUUGUAGUC